UACGGAGGGGGCGAGCGUUAUUCGGAAUUAUUGGGCGUAAAGGGCGCGUAGGCGGCUGGGCAAGUCAAAGGUGAAAUUCCUCGGCUCAACUGAGGAACUGCCUUUGAAACUGCCUGGCUUGAGGCCGGGAGGGGGUAGCGGAAUUCCCAGUGUAGCGGUGAAAUGCGUAGAUAUUGGGAGGAACACCAGUGGCGAAGGCGGCUACCUGGACCGGUUCUGACGCUGAGGAGCGAAAGCGUGGGGAGCGAACAGG
rnacentral:rRNA from 1 species